UGCAGUCGAACGAGACCUUCGGGUCUAGUGGCGCACGGGUGCGUAACGCGUGGGAACCUGCCUUUAGGUUCGGAAUAACUCAGAGAAAUUUGAGCUAAUACCGGAUAAUGUCUUCGGACCAAAGAUUUAUCGCCUUUAGAUGGGCCCGCGUUGGAUUAGCUAGUUGGUGGGGUAAAGGCCUACCAAGGCGACGAUCCAUAGCUGGUCUGAGAGGAUGAUCAGCCACACUGGGACUGAGACACGGCCCAGACUCCUACGGGAGGCAGCAGUGGGGAAUAUUGGACAAUGGGCGAAAGCCUGAUCCAGCAAUGCCGCGUGAGUGAUGAAGGCCUUAGGGUUGUAAAGCUCUUUUACCAGGGAUGAUAAUGACAGUACCUGGAGAAUAAGCUCCGGCUAACUCCGUGCCAGCAGCCGCGGUAAUACGGAGGGAGCUAGCGUUGUUCGGAAUUACUGGGCGUAAAGCGCACGUAGGCGGCUUUUUAAGUCAGGGGUGAAAUCCCGGGGCUCAACCCCGGAACUGCCCUUGAAACUGGGAAGCUAGAAUCUUGGAGAGGCGAGUGGAAUUCCGAGUGUAGAGGUGAAAUUCGUAGAUAUUCGGAAGAACACC
rnacentral:rRNA from 1 species